rnacentral:rRNA from 1 species
GACGAACCGUGCGACCGUUGUUCGGAAUCACUGGGCUUAAAGGGCGCGUAGGCGGGCCAUAAAGUCAGGGGUGAAAUCCUCCAGCUUAACUGGAGAACUGCCUUUGAUACUGAUGGUCUCGAGUAAGGUAGGGGCAUGCGGAACUGAUGGUGGAGCGGUGAAAUGUGUUGAUAUCAUCAGGAACUCCGGUGGCGAAGGCGGCAUGCUGGACCUUCACUGACGCUGAGGCGCGAAAGCUAGGGUAGCGAACGGG